CCGAGCUCCUCAUGUGGGACUGCGCUCAGAUGGACCUUGCUGCCACCGUCUCUUUAGGGGAACAGGUCUGUGAAGGAAAGGAAAAUAAAAGGAAUAAGCUGCAGUAAAAUUUUGUCAAAUCACCACUUAGAGAAGAAGAGGCCGGUGCACGCGCUCAUGGACCAGCUCGGCCUGCAGGACC